UUUCCUCCUCUCCUUUUUUCCCUCCCCUUUCCCUUUCUUGUAUUCCGGAAAGUAUGCCUGUUUGAGGGUCAGUUAAAUAAAAAUCGGUGUUGUUGCUGCUUUUCGUGGUGACGCGUCGGAAUUGAGUUGUCUUACCUUCGGUUAAGUGACUUAAAAUUUUGCAUGAUUUUCGAACGUAUUUAAAUUUCUUACGUACGUUUGAGAUAUCGAAUACUUUAUUAGGUUCGGUCAUCCUCAUGAUUCGCACCUAUAAUUUUUCAUUAAAUGACCUCAAAUCAGGUAAGAAUACCCGCUGAACUUA
rnacentral:misc_RNA from 1 species